rnacentral:rRNA from 1 species
AACGAACGCUGGCGGCAUGCCUAACACAUGCAAGUCGAACGCGACCUUCGGGUCUAUUGGCGUACGGGAUCGUAACGCGUGGGAACCUUCCCUUAUGGUCGGAAUAACUCCCCGAGAGGGGUGCUAAUACCGGAUAAUGUCUUCUGACCAAAGAUUUAUCGCCUUUGGAUGGGCCCGCGUUGGAUUAGCUAGUUGGUAGCUUAAAAGCCUACCAAGGCGACGAUCCAUAGCUGGUCUGAGAGGAUGAUCAGCCACACUGGGACUGAGACACGGCCCAGACUCCUACGGGAGGGAGCAGUGGGGAAUAUUGGACAAUGCGCGAAAGAAUGAUCCAGCAAGGCCGGGUGAGUGAUGAAGGAGUCAGGGUCGUAAAGCUCAGUUAAAAGGGAUGAUAAUGACAGUACCGGGAGAAUAAGCGACGGCUAACUACGUG